rnacentral:sRNA from 1 species
CCUUUUAGCUGCCAUCUUGCGUCCCCGCGUGUGUGCGCCUAAUCUCAGCUGGUCCACCCGAGACCCCUUGAGCACCAACCCUAGUCCCCCGCGCGGCCCCUUAUUCGCUCCGACAAGAUGAAAGAAACAAUCAUGAACCAGGAAAAACUCGCCAAACUGCAGGCACAAGUGCGCAUUGGUGGGAAAGGAACUGCUCGCAGAAAGAAGAAGGUGGUUCAUAGAACAGCCACAGCAGAUGACAAAAAACUUCAGUUCUCCUUAAAGAAGUUAGGGGUAAACAAUAUCUCUGGUAUUGAAGAGGCAAGUAUCAAAUUUUGUUUCUUUAAAAAACGAGAUUUGGCUGGGAAAAGUUAACGUUAAUGCAUUAAAUGAGUUUUUUUUUUUUUUUUUAACUUAGGGACUUCAAAGUCCCUAAGACGUGUUUCUACCAUAAAUUAAUAAUUAUCAGGGAGCUCAUUAAGUCUGAAUGCUAUUAGAAUGCAUAUUCCAUUCCAGGCAAAAUUUCACCUGUGCUUCACAGUGAAAUACUAGUUAGCCAGACUUAAUAAAACAUUUGUUUUUAAAGAGACUGGUCAGCAUUGCUAAUUUAAAUUUUUCUUUUCUUAAUAGGUGAAUAUGUUUACAAACCAAGGAACAGUGAUCCACUUUAACAACCCUAAAGUUCAGGCAUCUCUGGCAGCGAACACUUUCACCAUUACAGGCCAUGCUGAGACGAAGCAGCUGACAGAAAUGCUACCCAGCAUCUUAAACCAGCUUGGUGCGGAUAGUCUGACUAGUUUAAGGAGACUGGCCGAAGCUCUGCCCAAACAAUCUGUGGAUGGAAAAGCACCACUUGCUACUGGAGAGGAUGAUGAUGAUGAAGUUCCAGAUCUUGUGGAGAAUUUUGAUGAGGCUUCCAAGAAUGAGGCAAACUGAAUUGAGUCAACUUCUGAAGAUAAAACUUGAAGAAGUUACUGGGAGCUGCUAUUUUAUAUUAUGACUGCUUUUUAAGAAAUUUUUGUUUAUGGAUCUGAUAAAAUCUAGAUCUCUAAUAUUUUUAAGCCCAAGCCCCUUGGACACUGCAGCUCUUUUCAGUUUUUGCUUAUACACAAUUCAUUCUUUGCAGCUAAUUAAGCCGAAGAAGCCUGGGAAUCAAGUUUGAAACAAAAGUUAAUAAAGUUCUUUGCCUAGUA